AGUGAACGCUGGCGGUAGGCCUAACACAUGCAAGUCGAACGGCAGCACAGUAAGAGCUUGCUCUUACGGGUGGCGAGUGGCGGACGGGUGAGGACUACAUCGGAAUCUACUUUUUCGUGGGGGAUAACGUAGGGAAACUUACGCUAAUACCGCAUACGACCUACGGGUGAAAGCAGGGGAUCUUCGGACCUUGCGCGAUUGAAUGAGCCGCUGUCGGAUUAGCUAGUUGGCGGGGUAAAGGCCCACCAAGUCGACGAUCCGUAGCUGGUCUGAGAGGAUGAUCGGCCGCACUGGAGCUAGGACACGGACCAGACUCCGACGGGAGGCACCAGUCGGGAAUAUUCGACAAUGGGCGCAAGCCUGAUCCAGCCAUACCGCGUGAGUGAAGAAGGCCUUCGGGUUGUAAAGCCCUUUGGUUGGGAAAGAAAAGCAGGAGUUUAAUACCCCGCUGUUCUGACGGUACCCAAAGAAUAAGCACCGGCUAACUUCGUG
rnacentral:rRNA from 1 species